rnacentral:rRNA from 1 species
GGGAAGAUAAUGACGGUACCUGGAGAAUAAGCCCCGGCUAACUCCGUGCCAGCAGCCGCGGUAAUACGUAGGGGGCUAGCGUUGUUCGGAAUUACUGGGCGUAAAGCGUGCGUAGGCGGUUUUUCAAGUCUGAUGUGAAAUCCCGGGGCUCAACUCGGGAGCUGCCUUUGAAACUGGAUGGCUUGAAUGUGGGAGAGGUAAGUGGAAUUCCGAGUGUAGAGGUGAAAUUCGUAGAUAUUCGGAAGAACACCAGUGGCGAAGGCGGCUUACUGGACCAUUGUUGACGCUGAGGUACGAAAGCGUGGGGAGCAAACAGGAUUAGAUACCCUGGUAGUCCACGCCGUAAACGAUGAUUACUAGCUGU